GAUGAACGCUGGCGGCGUGCUUAACACAUGCAAGUCGAACGAUGAAGCCCAGCUUGCUGGGUGGAUUAGUGGCGAACGGGUGAGUAACACGUGAGUAACCUGCCCUUGACUCUGGGAUAAGCCUGGGAAACUGGGUCUAAUACUGGAUAUGACUUCUCAUCGCAUGGUGGGGGGUGGAAAGAUUUAUUGGUCUUGGAUGGACUCGCGGCCUAUCAGCUUGUUGGUGAGGUAAUGGCUCACCAAGGCGACGACGGGUAGCCGGCCUGAGAGGGGGACCGGCCACACGGGGACUGAGACACGGCCCAGACGCCUACGGGAGGCAGAAGUGGGGAAUAUUGCACAAUGGGCGCAAGCCUGAUGCAGCGACGCCGCGUGAGGGAUGACGGCCUUCGGGUUGUAAACCUCUGUCAGUAGGGAAGAAGCGGGAGUGACGGUACCUGCAGAAGAAGCGCCGGCUAACUACGUG
rnacentral:rRNA from 1 species